CCUGAAGCCCUCUAUUUAUGCAAAGAACAGGUACAGCACAGGAAGUUGCAGAGGAAACAUCUCCUCUUCUCCGUGUAUCCACCAUUAAUGUGCUUCUACCCUAAUCUGUAGGGACUACUUCUAUGAGCAAGAGUGAAUUCAGG
rnacentral:sRNA from 1 species